CGCCACCGCCGCAGGUAGUCGAGGCUCCGCUGCUCGCGCGCCGCCAUCCCGCGCCGCCCGGUAACCGCCGCCGCCGAGACGCUGCGUGAGAUGCAGAAAGACAACUUGAGAACAGUUUACCCAAGUGUAAUGCCAUGGAAGAGUGCAGCCAGGCCCACGACGGGUGUCAUCACCGCUCCCAGCCACCCACAGGGGCACCCAGAAGCAGAGUACGCUUCAAGAAAUGUAGAAGAUGCCCCAGAGAAAGCCCUGGUGUGCAACUGCAACAACGAUGGGACACCUGUGUCUCCCCGCACCCACGCACUGCUGGCAGAACAGAGCAAGCCAACACAGCAGAGCUUAAAGGUGUUUUCACAGAAUCACAGAAGGUCAGGCGCUGGAAGGGACCUCGAAGGCUCAUCCAGACCAACUCCUUGCCAGAGCAGGAUCACCUAGACCAGCUCACACAGGAACACAUCCAGCAUGCUGCAACACGUCACAAACUGGAUGGGGAACGUCCCCACAGGAGCAGAUUUAAUCACUACAGCAGUCACAAUUUGAACUCAGAACCUUUUGUGUUUAUCUGUAAGACUUCCUCAGACUGCACUCAGCUAUAGAUCCAGCCUGUGCACUGUGAACAGAAUCAACCAGGUUGGAAGAGACCUCCCAGCUCAUCCAGCCCAACCUAGCACCCAGCCCUGGCCAAGCAACCAGACCAUGGCACUAAGUGCCCCAGCCAGGCUUGGCUUGAAAGCGACUCCACCACCUCCCUGGGCAGCCCAUUCCAAUGCCAAUCACUCUCUGCCAACAAACUCCUCCUAACAUCCAGCCUAGACCUCCCCUGGCACGACUUGAGACUGUGACCCCUUGUUCUGUUGCUGGGUGCCUGGGAGAAGAGCCCAACCCCACCUGGCUGCAGCCUCCUUUUGUAAAUAAAAUUUCAUUUAACUUACAAAA